rnacentral:rRNA from 1 species
GACGAACGCUGGCGGCGUGCCUAAUACAUGCAAGUUGAGCGAUGAAGAUUGGUGCUUGCACCAAUUUGAAGAGCAGCGAACGGGUGAGUAACGCGUGGGGAAUCUGCCUUUGAGCGGGGGACAACAUUUGGAAACGAAUGCUAAUACCGCAUAACAACUUUAAACAUAAGUUUUAAGUUUGAAAGAUGCAAUUGCAUCACUCAAAGAUGAUCCCGCGUUGUAUUAGCUAGUUGGUGAGGUAAAGGCUCACCAAGGCGAUGAUACAUAGCCGACCUGAGAGGGUGAUCGGCCACAUUGGGAGUGAGACACGGCCCAAACUCCUACGGGAGGCAGCAGUAGGGAAUCUUCGGCAAUGGACGAAAGUCUGACCGAGCAACGCCGCGUGAGUGAAGAAGGUUUUCGGAUCGUAAAACUCUGUUGGUAGAGAAGAACGUUGGUGAGAGUGGAAAGCUCAUCAAGUGACGGUAACUACCCAGAAAGGGACGGCUAACUACGUG